UUGAUAGGAAAUAAAAUUUUCCUAUUCUAAAUCUCCUUUGUGUAUACAGAAUUGUUGCUUCCACUGGACAGACUUAGUGGGAUAAUUUUCUCACAAGUCCUUUAGCUUAUACAUACUGUAUUUGCUGCGGAGUUGCCAGUGGGUGUUGUUUUGGCUUAAAAAAUUUGAAUUCACAACAGUUUUGUCUGAUUUAUAUAUUAAUAAAU
rnacentral:misc_RNA from 1 species